rnacentral:rRNA from 1 species
AACGUAGGAGACAAACGUUAUCCGGAGUUACUGGGCGUAAAGGGCGUGUAGGCGGUUUGUUAAGUCUGGCGUGAAAGCUCUCGGCUAAACCGGGAGAGGUCGUUGGAUACUGGCAAACUAGAGGACGGUAGAGGCGUGUGGAAUUCCGGGUGUAGUGGUGAAAUGCGUAGAGAUCCGGAGGAACACCAGUGGCGAAGGCAAUCCCCUGGGCCUGCACUGACGCUCAUGCACGAAAGCGUGGGGAGCAAACAGG